rnacentral:rRNA from 1 species
GUUGAAAAAUUAGCGGAUGACUUGUGGCUGGGGGUGAAAGGCCAAUCAAACCGGGAGAUAGCUGGUUCUCCCCGAAAGCUAUUUAGGUAGCGCCUCGUGAAUUCAUCUCCGGGGGUAGAGCACUGUUUCGGCAAGGGGGUCAUCCCGACUUACCAACCCGAUGCAAACUGCGAAUACCGGAGAAUGUUAUCACGGGAGACACACGGCGGGUGCUAACGUCCGUCGUGAAGAGGGAAACAACCCAGACCGCCAGCUAAGGUCCCAAAGUCAUGGUUAAGUGGGAAACGAUGUGGGAAGGCCCAGACAGCCAGGAUGUUGGCUUAGAAGCAGCCAUCAUUUAAAGAAAGCGUAAUAGCUCACUGGUCGAGUCGGCCUGCGCGGAAGAUGUAACGGGGCUAAACCAUGCACCGAAGCUGCGGCAGCGACGCUUAUGCGUUGUUGGGUAGGGGAGCGUUCUGUAAGCCUGCGAAGGUGUGCUGUGAGGCAUGCUGGAGGUAUCAGAAGUGCGAAUGCUGACAUAAGUAACGAUAAAGCGGGUGAAAAGCCCGCUCGCCGGAAGACCAAGGGUUCCUGUCCAACGUUAAUCGGGGCAGGGUGAGUCGACCCCUAAGGCGAGGCCGAAAGGCGUAGUCGAUGGGAAACAGGUUAAUAUUCCUGUACUUGGUGUUACUGCGAAGGGGGGACGGAGAAGGCUAUGUUGGCCGGGCGACGGUUGUCCCGGUUUAAGCGUGUAGGCUGGUUUUCCAGGCAAAUCCGGAAAAUCAAGGCUGAGGCGUGAUGACGAGGCACUACGGUGCUGAAGCAACAAAUGCCCUGCUUCCAGGAAAAGCCUCUAAGCAUCAGGUAACAUCAAAUCGUACCCCAAACCGACACAGGUGGUCAGGUAGAGAAUACCAAGGCGCUUGAGAGAACUCGGGUGAAGGAACUAGGCAAAAUGGUGCCGUAACUUCGGGAGAAGGCACGCUGAUAUGUAGGUGAAGUCCCUCGCGGAUGGAGCUGAAAUCAGUCGAAGAUACCAGCUGGCUGCAACUGUUUAUUAAAAACACAGCACUGUGCAAACACGAAAGUGGACGUAUACGGUGUGACGCCUGCCCGGUGCCGGAAGGUUAAUUGAUGGGGUUAGCGGUAACGCGAAGCUCUUGAUCGAAGCCCCGGUAAACGGCGGCCGUAACUAUAACGGUCCUAAGGUAGCGAAAUUCCUUGUCGGGUAAGUUCCGACCUG